rnacentral:rRNA from 1 species
GGGGGCGAUCAUACCACCUUAAGGGGCCCCGGG